AAUGAACGCUGGCGGCGUGGUUAAGACAUGCAAGUCGAACGGUUUUUCAGUGUAGCAAUACAUUGAAAAAGACAGUGGCGAACGGGUGCGUAACACGUGAACAAUCUACCUUCAAAUGGGGAAUAGCUCGGCGAAAGCCGGAUUAAUACCGCAUGUGGUCGGGACUCUCCUGAGUCCCAAACUAAAGUCAGGGACCGCAAGGCCUGACGUUUGAAGAGGAGUUCGCGGCCUAUCAGCAGUUGGCGAGGUAACGGCUCACCAAGGCUAAGACGGGUAGCUGGUCUGAGAGGAUGAUCAGCCACAC
rnacentral:rRNA from 1 species